rnacentral:rRNA from 1 species
ACGGGGGUGAAAUGCAUCUCAAAGCGCCCCGAAAUGGGGGAUAUCUGUCCGAAAGGAAUUCUAUUAUCCCAUACACCCUGUGGGGAAAAGCGGGGGAUAUUGGGACCUCUUGCGCUUCUUGAGCGGGAUAUAUCUGAUUCUAUAUGUGGGGGGGAAGGGGCCUCCCGGGGCCAAUAUCAAUCGGGGCUCAGAGGAGAAUAUCCCCCACUGUGGCUGUGACACAGCCCCCACACUCCCAGGGGGGGCAACUGGGGAAAUUUUUGCACUGGGGGCGCGCCCGAUAUCCCCCCGUGCCGUGUGUGAGAAAAGCGUCUUCGGUGUGAAGGAGAUUUUUGUCGGGAAAGAAGAGGUUUGGUAAUACCCCCAUGUGAGAUGACUACCCGUGAAAUAUGCACACGGUAUCUCUACGUGAGCAGCACGCGCUAUUACACAUAGUGCGAGAGUUUUCUGAAAACAGUGCGUAUAGCGAGCGCACAGACUUUGAUUUGCGCAUAUGAGAUCUCCGGGGCUCAUGUGAGCAGUGCGCUGUGCACUGAGUCUCUAGAGUGUCUCAGAGAGAUAUAGUUUAUGUGUGUCACAGUGAUGUGCAUAGAGAUGUAGAGUAUAGAUAUCGCGAGCGCCCCUCGUGAUACACUCAGACGCUCAUCUCAAGCGUGUGUAUCACAACAGUAUAUAUACUCGUGUAGUCACCUAACA